rnacentral:rRNA from 1 species
CCUACGGGUGGCAGCAGUGAGGAAUAUUGGUCAAUGGCCGUAAGUCUGAACCAGCCAAGUAGCGUGCAGGAUGACUGCCCUAUGGGUUGUAAACUUCUUUUAUGCGGGGAUAAACUUAUCCACGUGUGGAUGAUUGCAGGUACCGCAUGAAUAAGGACCGGCUAAUUCCGUGCCAGCAGCCGCGGUAAUACGGAAGGUCCGGGCGUUAUCCGGAUUUAUUGGGUUUAAAGGGAGCGUAGGCCGGUCUUUAAGCGUGUCGUGAAAUGUUGCGGCUCAACCGUGACAGUGCGGCGCGAACUGGAGGUCUUGAGUGCGCGGGAGGUAGGCGGAAUUCGUGGUGUAGCGGUGAAAUGCUUAGAUAUCACGAAGAACUCCGAUUGCGAAGGCAGCCUGCCGUAGCGUUACUGACGCUGAGGCUCGAAGGUGCGGGUAUCGAACAGGAUUAGAUACCUCUGUAGUC